rnacentral:tRNA from 1 species
UCCCUGAUAGUUCAGUUGGUAAAGAAUCUGCCUGCAAUGCAGGAGAUCAUGGUUCGACUCCUGGUUGGGAAG